GUUCAUCUAUACUUAUAUAUAUUUCUUCCCCACCAGCACCCAAUCCAAACGCCGUCUAAGAUCCAGAAUUGCCAAAACCCCAAAUUCCCAAUUACCGAGACGAUAAAAAAAUCCAGAAAUUUACGAAAGAAAGAAAAAUCAAGAACGUCGUCUCCAUAUCCGAAGAGAUUGACUCUCAGUCUAAGAUGGUUGCUAAGCUCGACGAAGAACUCGUACAUCUGGCCCAGAUCGGUUACGUUACCAUGCGAAUACAAAACAGUAGAAACCGCCAUGAGGUUAUAAAAUCACCACUAUUUGAGGACAACGUAGCUUAGGAGGAUUUAAGGUAUGGGUUGGAAGAGGAAGAUGGAUUUUUAUAGACAUAUUCGACAAUUUGAUUUAAUUUUUAAAUGGUCAAAAAAAAAUGUGAUUAUUUUUUACUACAAACCAAUACAUUUAACAUUUCACCUAUAAAGAUUGGAUAUGGACUUACCCAUACUAUCAAUUAGUUUUAAAAAACGUCUUAAACAUAAUAUUUCCAAGUAAAUAUAAGUAAAUACUAAAUACUCAUCAACAUAGAAUUUAUUACCUCAUGAACAUGCAGGCUUACAGACUUUUAAAUAAUAAUUAAUAAUAACCGAAAUAACAAUAAUAAGAUCAGAAAUAUUGAAAAUCAUCACGACUACAACAUCCUGUAUACAUUUCCUAAACAAAAAUCUCUCCUUUUAUACUAAAUUACAUCAAAUACGAAGAGGGUAGAGGUUGACAGCGGUAGAGAAAAGAAAAAAGAGAAUUUACCGAUCACUUUAUAAAAAGACUUCUCCCCAUAUACAACGAACAGCAAUUAUAUAACUUAGCAGCAAACCUAAUAAUUUAUAUCAAAAUCACAAUCAAGCCUCAGCUACCACAGUUCUCUCAUUUCUUCUGUGCACUGCAGAUUCACCUUUGCAUUGGGAUUUUAGGGGGUGAAUGAUUAGGUUUGUAUAAUUUAGAAGCUCCUUAGUUAUAAAUUUUAACAGCCUUCUCAAACGUGUGUCGAUUCUGCAAAAUACAAAACAUGACGCAUUACUGUGCAAAAAAAUGAUAAAAGAAAAUCUAACCAGCACAGAUAGGAUUACAGGAAUUUCCGCAUGUACCUGAUUGGCCGUGUAUGAUCUUUUAGAAGAAAUGUCAGAAUGCUCCAGUCCAAGGUACUGUUCCCAGGCUCCAUAAACCUCCCUUCUCUGGUUGAAAUAAAAGCAACACCAACAAGUUUAACAAAAUGACAAACAAAUAAUAUUGAUAUAAAAAGUAGCAUUAAGGAUAUGUAGAACUAACCUGGAAACGAUUUGAUACAAUGUCUGAAUCUUCAAGAUAUUCAGGUCUACCCAGUGAUAGAAACGCAAAUUUCCACUAAAAAAGAACAAACAAAACACUAAAAAAUUACUUGAAUUAUUAAGGGAAAAAAUUAAACGAAAAAUGUCAUAAAAGAGAGAAUUCAACAGUAAUCAAAUAUUUCCUAAUCUCAAUUAAAAUCCAAUUGUAGCCUAUUUUAUUUUAUUAUAAUUUAAUAGACCACAAACUUAAUUACAGUUACUAAUAUAUUUAUAUAUGAAUUUUGUCGCAGAUUCAGAGCAUUAAAUAUCAACAAAUCACUUGCCAGUUGCUAUGGU
rnacentral:lncRNA from 1 species